AUCACUCACACGGGGUGCACCCGGUCGCAUAUGACCGGGGGCUGAGAUCAGACCCGUAGAACCUGCUCUAGUUCGCACUGGCGAAGGGAAUGUGACUGUGGUUUUUU
rnacentral:ncRNA from 2 species